rnacentral:lncRNA from 13 species
UAGAUGGAUAAGUGAGUGGACAGCAAAUGAGAUACACCUGAAGGAUGGGGAACUACUCUAUUUAAUAUUCUAGAGCAGGGAGAGCAUCUGUUUCUAAGGAGACCUGCAGCUAAAAGCAUCUGCUUCCAAGUCCAAGUCAAAAAGCCUAACAGAUUAGUUCCCUGAAUGCCCGCGCCAGAAUCGCCUGAAGUUUGUGAAAAUGCAGGCUUCUGGGCCAUUUCCUCAGAGAUUAUGAUUCAGCAAGCUCGGAAGGGCCUGGGAAUCAGCAAAGUGAAGCUGAUGGGAAGACAGUUAACACUGAAGAUCAGAGAACUCGGGCAACUUUCCUGAGACAGCACAGCAGCUGAGAAGCAGUCACGUCCAGCCGACAUUCAGUCAGCACCUAACAGGUCCUGGGCACUGGUUGGGACACAAAGAGGUGUAGAACCUGGCUUGGUCCUUCGAGGCAGCUCACUGCAGCUACCAGAACAGCAUCACUGGAGGGAACUGCGGAGAGUUCGGUUGGCAGAUGAGGAAGAAGGGGGCCACAGGAAGGAGCCGAUUUGCUCAAGGACACAGGGCAAACGUGUGGCAGAAGUGAGAAUGACAAAAGUCCUGAUCACAACAGUGGAUCGCGGCGCCUGCUGUAACGCGCCAGACACUGUGCUAAGCAUCACCAUCCCUCAUCUUCAUGACAAUUAAAAAGCAAGCCGCAUCACCCACACUUACAGAGAAGGAAACUGAGGCUCAGAGGAGGGACUCCUUUCUGGCAUCCUGACUCUUCUUGGAGGACUUUUUGCAACUGCUGGUUGGCGAAGGGGAAAAUCUAAUUUUUGAAGGAUAAUGAAGAAAGGGAGGAAGGCAGGAGAAGAAACAGAAUACAAGAGCCAAGUUGGCCCCCAUAAUAAAAUGUCAUCCCACAAGAUGUAAGACA